GGUACAGUGGCGCACGGGUGAGUAACACGUAGGUAAUCUUCCCUCGAGCGGGGGAUAACCCUCCGAAAGGAGGGCUAAUACCGCAUAAGACCACGACCUUUUCGGAGGUUGCGGCCAAAGCGGACCUCUUCAUGAAAGUUCGCACUUGAGGAUGAGCCUGCGGCCCAUCAGGCAGUUGGUGGGGUAACGGCCUACCAAACCUAAGACGGGUAGCUGGUCUGAGAGGAUGGUCAGCCACACUGGAACUGAGACACGGUCCAGACUCCUACGGGAGGCAGCAGUGGGGAAUCUUGCGCAAUGGGGGAAACCCUGACGCAGCGACGCCGCGUGAGCGAUGAAGGCCUUCGGGUUGUAAAGCUCUGUGGGGAGGGACGAAUAAGUGUUGGCUAAUAUCCAGCAUGAUGACGGUACCUCCUUAGCAAGCACCGGCUAACUCUGUGCCAGCAGCCGCGGUAAGACAGAGGGUGCAAACGUUGUUCGGAAUCACUGGGCGUAAAGCGCGUGUAGGCUGCUGCGCAAGUCGGAUGUGAAAUCCCACGGCUCAACCAUGGAAGUGCAUUCGAAACUGCGUAGCUAGAGUUUUGGAGAGGAAGGCGGAAUACUCGGUGUAGAGGUGAAAUUCGUAGAUAUCGAGUGGAACACCGGUGGCGAAGGCGGCCUUCUGGACAAUGACUGACGCUGAAACGCGAAAGCGUGGGGAGCAAACAGGAUUAGAUACCCUGGUAGUCCACGCCGUAAACGAUGGGUGCUAGGUGUCGCGGGCUUUGACCCUCGCGGUGCCGAAGCUAACGCGUUAAGCA
rnacentral:rRNA from 1 species